UACAGAGGGUGCGAGCGUUAAUCGGAAUUACUGGGCGUAAAGCGCGCGUAGGCGGCUUUGCAAGUCGGGUGUGAAAUCCCCAGGCUUAACCUGGGAACUGCAUUCGAGACUGCAUUGCUAGAGUAUGGGAGAGGGAAGUGGAAUUUCCGGUGUAGCGGUGAAAUGCGUAGAUAUCGGAAGGAACAUCAGUGGCGAAAGCGACUUCCUGGACCGAGAUUGACGCUGAUGAGCGAAAGCUAGGGGAGCAAACGGG
rnacentral:rRNA from 1 species